CUGCCGUCGUCGGUGUUGGCAUCGUUGUCGUCGUCACCGAUGUUUUUUUAUAUAGAUACACUUACCAGAUCUGCGGUGCUCGUCCUGCGUCUUGCCUCGAUCGUUGAACCACAGUCGAACAUUGAAUGAUCGGAAUAAUAGAGCGCUCGCCGUGCUCGUGUCGUCUUAUAGUAUUGUCGCUUUUUAACCACGUACGGACUGAUUCGAUCGGUAGAUUGUGAAUGCUUUUUUUGUAGAAAAACAUGUGUACGUUGUUGAUACACAUAGCCGUUGUAUAUUUAUAAUAAUCAUAAUUUGUAUACGAUUUUUUAUUUUAUGCAUAUAUUGAAGAGUAUCCUGCAUCGUGAAAAUUUUUCACUGAAUUUUUAAGUAAAUUGGAAUCCUUUUUAUAAAUACUGAAAGAGAUCUCACAAGAAUUUGUAUAAUUUUUGUAAGGAAGGUCUUGUGAGAUUUUGUAGGAAAAAUUUCUCAUACGAACUUCAGACAAGAACAUACAAGAUUUUGCAACAGGGUUUAUUAUAAAUAAUAAGCAUAAUCUCGUACAUUUGUAUUAUUAAGAAAUAACAUUAUGUGUACGGUUAUUAAACAUUUGCCUCUUUUCCAACAUUGCUUUCUAUACAAUUUGUUAUAAAAUUAUCAUACAAAAAUUUGGUGAAUUAUAAUAAACUUAUAAGCAACAU